CUUUCAAUCUCGAUCUCUCCACUUUAAAAGCUUUGGGAAAAAAACAGAAUAGCUUUUAAUGAAAUAGCAGCUACUGGAACACCAGUAGCUCUCUUUCCUCCCAGAGAUGCAACAGGGAAUAUAAUUUAAUUUGAUUAAUUCAUAGCCUCAGGAAGCGGUGAGCAGCAAGAGAACUACCAGAACAUUGGUACCUUGACUUCUGAUGUGUGAUGGAGGGAAACGUUUGGAUCUUCUCAGGAGGAUGCAAAUGAAAGCAUGAAGACUUCAGACAUCACAGAGGCUCAGAAAAAACUCAGAAAAAGACAGAGAAUGAGAGAACAGAAGAAGUUGAAGCAGCAGAAUCUUCUUCUAUGAGAUAUUCUUUUUGAAAUUUAUGCAAAGAGAAUGCAGCUUUGUAAAGGGAGCUGAGCAUAAUCCCAAACACUGAUGAGAAUGCUUGGACAAUGAAGGUAACUGUUAAUUAGUGUGGAAAACAGCAAAAAAGACCUGCCAGGAGGAUUUCAGAACCCACCAGACUGCAGCCUAACAGUUAGGACAUGCUUGCGUGAGUUUAACUGUUCUUGGUUAAGAGACAGACUUAAAAUCUCUGACUCUUGGAUUAAAAAAAAAAAAAAAAAAAAAAAAAAAAAGAAGAAGAAAAAGAAGAAAAAGAAAAAGAAAGACCGGAUAAAAUGGAAAUAGAAACAAAACACUUCAAUUUGCUGAGAAUGAAAUCUGUGCAAACACUUUUUGUAAUCCUCAACUAGAUUCAGAGAAAUGAGUGGUUUUUAAACCCUGACAGUGUAUAAAUAUAAAUUACAUGCUUAGCUGCUCAGUGCCAUCAAAAUGUGCAUGGUUCUGGGCAUACCCUGAAGGAG
ensembl:lncRNA